UAAACUUAGAAAAGGGGAAUUGUUCACCCAGACGCGGCACCUCCAGUGAUGGGACAGAUGUGGACGCUAACAAUGACGAAGACACUCAACUUCCUCACGGGAAUAUUCAUAGUUUGGCUCUGUUUAUCAAGCCAGGUUGAGUCGAAGCCUGCUAAUGGGGUGUACUAUGUAAACGUCCUGGGCUUGCCCUCUCCAGAGGAGAGAGUGCCUGUCAACACGUUGUCAACCAGACGCAGGUGGCGG